rfam:Picea glauca, whole genome shotgun sequence.
AUGUACAUUCCUACAACAUAGCGUUAAUGCAAUGGAUCCCAUUAGAAAUCUGCAGUUAAGUGUGCUUGGUUAGAGUAGUACUCGGAUGGGUGACUUCCUAGGAAGUCCUAGUGUUUUACAUG